CAACUACUCCCUCUGUCCCAAAUUUCUUGUCUUAGAUUUGUCUAGAUACGGAUGUAUCUAAUACUAAAAUGUGACUUGAUACUUCCGUAUCUAGACAAAUCUAAGACAAGAAUUUUGGGACGGAGGGAGUACUUU
rfam:Triticum aestivum genome assembly, contig: Triticum_aestivum_CS42_TGACv1_scaffold_352317_4DL